rnacentral:lncRNA from 10 species
GAUUAUAUGGUGCCUUAUGCUAGUGGUAGGGGACCCACAGAGCCAGUGUGUGCGGCUGAGGUGCUCAGACUGGCAGGUGAAAUGACUUCAUUAGUGCCCUGGCUCCUGGUGGGAUGAGAGUGGAAACCCAGCCUUCUGAGUUGAAGAACUGGAACAAACAUCAGCCCUGACACAUUGAUGUCAGUUUACCUUUGUGAGAAACAGGAACGAAAUGUGAACAUCUAUUUCAGGUGAUGUCAUAAAGCCCGACUCAGAAGAUGGCUAUGAUUUCAACAGCCUGUCGGCAGCACGGAUUUCAGAGUAACUUACAAUC